GCAAGCUUUGGGAGGACCCUAGAUAACUCUCAGCAAGUUGAUGUUUGCAUUCCAGUGGUUGUCAUUGCUCUGCUCUAUUCUGAAAGGAUUACUCCAAUAAUCAUGUUCGUUUCAGUGAUUUGAAGUGAUCAUGGUGCUUGGAGUCUGUAUGUGCAGUGUUUAACUAUGGAAAUCAUUAGUCGGCCUAAAACAAGAGUUCUCGACUGGCUAAGGUCAAUUCAUAUUGCAUAUUAGACAUUUGGCAAUUCACAUUGCAUAUUGGACGUCUGUUAUCAACACGCACAGCAUGCUGGUGGGCGGCUUGUUCCCCCCACCACCGAGCCGUCCAAGACUUCCUCUCAUUAGUCCUUCCUCCAUGGUGUCCCCAGAUGUCACUGGAGGAGGGUUGGGCUGACGGUAGAACUUGGUGAGUCUCCCCUAUUAUUUUGGGGGUGGGAGAAUGCC